rnacentral:rRNA from 1 species
AUGAAUAAGGAUCUUGAUGCAAAAUCCAUGCAGCCCGAAGCAGGACCUGCGGAGUUUGAUGUGAGACCCAUGCAAACAGAGCUUGCACCACUAAAAGAGCUUGACAGAAAAAACCUUGAGCAAGACAAUGGAAACUUGUAUUCAGCCAAGUCGCUCAACGAGGCUGUAGUUGCCCAAAAAAGAAAAAGGAACGAUGAGUUGCAACACUCAGAGCUGGAUCCCAAGAUGAAAACGGAUCUUGAUGCAAAAUCCAUGCAGCCCGAAGCAAGAUCCAAACAACUUGACACCAGGGACAAGCAGCCUCAGUCAUGGUCUAUGGAUCUGGAAGCGAAAUCAAAGAUGUUGGAUGUAAAAUCCAAGAUGAUUGACGUGAGAUGCAAGAAGAUUAAAGCAAGAUCAGCAGAGUUUGACGUGAGAUCCAAGCAACUUGAUGCCAGACACUUGCAGUCUGAGGCAAGAUCUAUGGAGCUAGAAGCGAAAUCCAGGAGGCUUGAAACGAGAUCCAAGGAGCUUAAAGCUCUACAUGCGCAAAAUGAGUGUGAGAGGAUGCACCUUGCGCAAUACAAGAAAAAGUUACAUCGUAAGAUGCACACAGUUGAGUCUUUUAACCAGGCGUUGGUAACCCAGCAAAGAAAAGGAAAUGAUGAGUUGGAGCGUCUAAGGGAGCUAGUAGCACAGUUACAGAAUGAACUGGAAGCAAUGGAGUCGCUCAAUCGUGUUCUACUAACCAAGGAAAUAGGCAGCAACAAUGAGUUGCAAGUUGCCCGGAAAAGGCUAAAAGAUGGGCUGCAGAAGUUUACAAAUGGACGGGCAAAUAUAGGGGUCAAGAGAAUGGGCGAGCUUGACAUGAAAGCAUUUGCGAAUGCUUGCAAACAAGAUGUAUCACAAGAAGAUGCCCAAGUUGAUUCUGUUUUUCUUUGUUCAAAGUGGCAAGCUGAAAUUACAAACUCAAAGUGGCACCCUUUUAAGAUCGUCAUGGUUGAUGGUAAAGAGAUGGAAAUUCUCUUAGAGGAUGAUGACAAGCUGCAGAAGUUGAAGGAGGAACAUGGUGAAGAAAUAUGCACUUUGGUAACGAAUGCACUGCUUGAAAUCAAUGAGUACAACCCCAGUGGCCGUUAUGUUGUACCAGAGCUGUGGAACUAUAAGGAUGGCCGGAAAGCAACACUGGAAGAAGGCAUCGAGUUCAUCCUGAAACAGUGGCAAUCACAUAAGAGGAAGCGGUGA